rnacentral:misc_RNA from 1 species
AGGGUAGCUUAGAAAUCUUAUAAAAAUCCACAGCCACACCUAUGAUAGGUAGUGGAAGGCUGACAAGUAAGCAGCAAGCGUGUUGAAAAGAAAGUUGUUGUAUUUGAUCAACAAAGGAUUCACUCUUCUUCGAUUAGGGCGGCCAUGGAAGGGUAUCUAAGGCUCAUUCCCUCCAAUGCCUCGUUAGUUUCUACCUACUCUUCUAUCUCAACAUCCUGGCUACUCUUCAAGACUGCAUAUAAUCAGGUCAUACCAAAACAG